GUUCCCUUUAGGUCCUGGAAGACUGCAGUGAGGUCACUCUGCUCCUUCGCAGUCCCAGCAAGCUUUCGGAAGCUGCUGAGCACAACAAAGGAUCUGAUCCUUUCUUGUCUUCUGGUGACUGGACACUGCUGAAAAUGGACCUUUCAUCUUCCCUGGAAUAGAUGUUCUAUUGCUCACAUGUGUAUUCUUUGCAAAUUUUUACAUCAGGAUCACCUGUCUGCGAGUUUCUGAAGAUAUACUGGGGUCUUCUUCAUCUUCAAUGUUCCUACCUCAUCUCUGAGAUGGCUGCUUCCAUGGCUGCCAUUUCAAAUCUUUCCAGGGAAAAAUCUAUUAAGGAAAUCUGUCUGGUGAACAAGCUGUUUGGUAAUAAAUUUUGACUGCUUUUCAACUGCUCUCGGCCUUCAAAGCCAAAAAUGCUCUGGAAACAAUAGAAGUGUGUUUACAAUCCCAGACUAUGCAAUUAAUAGCUGAUGACAUUCAGGGAAUAGCAGUAUGUCUAAU